AUGCAGGACCAGGCCGGGGCCGCCUCCGGCUCCGGGGAUCCGGACCCUCCGCCGGAGCACGCCGGCGGCGAGGGCGGCUCCUCCUCCGCCGCGGCCGCCGCCAGGCUCCCCUCCCGCAACGCCUCCUCCAAGUACGACUUCGUCAAGGUCAAGGUCUGGCUCGGGGAGAACGCCGACCACUACUACGUCCUCUCCAGGUUCCUCCUCAGCAGGAUGCUCACCGUCACCAAGGCUCAUCAAGCUAUACUAAUUGUUUCACAGAGUGACUUAGAGGCCAACCUUUUCAAGCUAAUGGAGAAAAGGGGAUAUGGAGAGGACUACAUUAAUCGAUAUAAGAUGAUGACAAGAUUCCAUCAUCAAAGAGUACCACUAGUAAUUUUGGUGUGUGGAACUGCUUGCACUGGAAAAUCAACAAUUGCUACACAGCUAGCUCAAAGGCUCAACCUACCAAAUGUUUUACAGACAGACAUGGUAUAUGAGUUGUUGCGGACAUCAACAGAUGCCCCGCUAACUUCAGUACCUGUGUGGGCUCGGGAUUUUAAUUCACCUGAAGAACUUAUCACCGAAUUUUGCAGAGAAUGCAGAGUUGUUCGCAAAGGUUUGGCUGGUGAUUUGAAGAAAGCAAUGAAAGAUGGGAAGCCAAUUAUAAUAGAGGGAAUUCAUUUGGAUCCAAGCAUUUACCUGAUGGACGAGGAGAAUGCAGAUGACAAUUCCAGAAUUGAGAAAAAGGUUGAAUCUGGAAAUUCAUCCAUCUCUGCAGAAAAGAAAACAGAACAGCAAUCAGAAAAUGGUCUACCUGAGAACAUUGUAAGUGUUCUAAAGGAAGAUAUCAUACAAAGCCAGGACUGCCUGCCUGAGAGUAGGACCAGUGAAGGUCUGUCUGGUGCUGACAGCCAUGAGAUUACCUCUUCUGAUUCUGAAGAGAAAAUUCUCAAAGCUGAAGGCAAUGGACAAAAGGAUUUGGACCAACAGAAGAGCAACAGUGCCAAGAAAGACAAGCCUGCUGCUGAACCGAUAGUUGUUCCAAUUGUGUUGAGGAUGUCUGAUUUUGAUCACAAGGCAUUGUUAGAGGAAUGGAUAGCCACUAGAGCUAUCAGAGAUAAUUGCCUUCCUCAGGAUCAUCGAAAGCUUAUAAACAACCUCAAACUUAUUCAGGAUUAUCUUUGCUCUUUUGAGGCACAGGGAUUGACUGUUGUUGACAUCUCAGCAAACUCGUUUCCUCAAACGUUAGAUUGGCUUCAUGGCUAUCUUCUUCAGUGCAUUGAGCGCGGCCUUCUGGCUGCAUGUUCAGAAGGCCCCAAGCAAUAG
rnacentral:rRNA from 1 species